rnacentral:rRNA from 1 species
ACGACGUUGUGGUUCAUGACUGGGGUGAAGUCGUAACAAGGUAGCGCUAGGGGAACCUGGCGCUGGAUCACCUCCUUAAACGAUGAU